rnacentral:rRNA from 1 species
AUUGAACGCUGGCGGCGUGCUUAACACAUGCAAGUCGAACGCGAAAGGGACUUCGGUCCUGAGUAAAGUGGCGCACGGGUGAGUAACGCGUGGAUAAUCUGCCCUUAUGAUCGGGAUAACAGUUGGAAACGGCUGCUAAUACCGGAUACGCUCAAAAUGAACUUUUUGAGGAAAGAUGGCCUCUGCUUGCAUGCUAUCGCGUAAGGAUGAGUCCGCGUCCCAUUAGCUUGUUGGCGGGUAACGGCCCACCAAGGCAACGAUGGGUAGCCGAUUUGAGAGGAUGAUCGGCCACACUGGAACUGAAACACGGUCCAGACUCCUACGGGAGGCAGCAGUGGGGAAUAUUGCGCAAUGGGCGAAAGCCUGACGCAGCGACGCCGCGUGAGGGAUGAAAGGUUUUCGGAUCGUAAACCUCUGUCAGAAGGGAAGAAACUACAUUGUGCUAAUCAGCAGUGUACUGACGGUACCUUCAAAGGAAGCACCGGCUAACUCCGUGCCAGCAGCUGC